ACACACGCUGUAACGGCGGCUGGCUACGAUCUCGCAGAGAUCUGCCUGCCUUUGUUUUGAUUAAAGGCGUGAACCACCACGCGUGGCUUUUCAUUAAGAAGCAAGUAUUUCUGACGGUUUUUGUUGCUUUAAGAGGCCGCGUGAACAUAGCGCUUCCCAGACGUGAUUCUGUGUAACGUCGGUAACUGGAGCAGGGAGGUUAAUUACGUUUAGGGGUCUUCAGGACCUCGAAGCAGGAGGACUUUGUGAAGGACAAAAUGGUGGCGGCGGUGCAGGGCCAUCCCCGAUGAUGAUUUCCUUUUCACAGACCUGUACUGAUUUCCAUGAGGAUAAGUAAUUCUGAGGAGGCUGGCCCAGUACCUAAAGUCUUUUGCCCCCACCCAGAUUUCUCUUAAACGGAGGUGUAGAAAUAACCAAAUGCCAAUUCGUUCCAGAUUUGGGAUGAUUGCAUACGGAAACAUGGAAGUACGCGUCCUUUUUAAGAAAAUGGUUGAUGAAAGCGGAGUUUACGCUUUGGAAGCAGGCUAGAUGGACCUUACAACUAAGACGUUUUGCUGGCAGUUGAGCAUCCUGUAGCAAUAUUCUGAGGAAUGCAGAUGAUCUCCCAGGAUGAUUACAGGUUGUCCUGAUGGCUUGUCUAAAGGAGAAGAUAAUUCCUGUAUGUCACCAAUCACCAGCAUUCAGAGGUUCUGUUAGCAGUGGCAUCUUUGCUGGUUCAGAGAUCUGGUGUCUGCCCUAGAGCUGAGGAACCAACUUUGCCAGGAAAGUUGAGCACAUCUUCACUCUGCUGGAAUGAGGUGAGAAAGCAUGGGUGUGUAAGGUGUACUGUGAACUAGUCUCCUCCCUAUGAAGAAACUUUCACAUGUCUUACUUCCUGUCCUAGCGCCAGAGCCUGAAAAGGUGAACCCACUGGGGCUGGCUGGGGGAAAAGAGGAAGAUUUGUUCCAGAAGGAACUGUCUGAGGGAUUGAGUUUUUAUAGAGAGGAAAGAAUUGUCAAGUGAUAAGAGAUAAAAGGUGGCUUGUCUUCCCAGGUCUGAAGAAAGGAGGAGCUUGUGAAUGGUAAGUAUGGUAUUGAAUAUGGGCAGGUGGGAGUUUUGGUUAGGCAAGGGGUAUCUGGAAGGCAGAGGAUUGUCCAUGUGGAUGCAUUUGGCAUGCUACAUUAACUUAAUUAAAACUUUUACAGGAAUGCAGAUCUCCAAGAACAAAGAUCUCUAUUUCCUCGAUAAUUUGGAGUUGUGUGUCAUCAUUCUCUUAAUAAAAUUGUUUCUUUGCAA